UAUGUACUCCCACCGUUCCAAAAUACUUGACUUCCAUUUGUCCAAAAAUGGAUGUACCUAUAUACUAAAACAUGUCUAGAUACAUAUAUAUUUUGACAAAUAGAAGGCAUGUAUUGUGCAACGGAGGGAGUAGAAU
rnacentral:pre_miRNA from 1 species